UCCCACGCCGCGUCAGUCAAACACCGGCCCUCUUUCUCCCAAUCCCCGCAACCGCCGCGCCCGGCACACCUCCCUCCUCCACUCCUCCCCGCAUCUCACCCUUCCCCGCUGAGCUUGUUCCUCUAGCCACCCACUCGUCUCCUCCUCCUCCUAUCUCUCUCUUCUAGCUUCCUCCUCCUUCCUGAUCUCUGCGUCGGUCGGACCGCGAGAGGAGCGGCGGUGGUGGAGACGCUCCGGUGGCGGCAUCGAGUUGCGAACCCCAAGAACCAGGUCUGGGGGUUCGGUUCCAAGGCGCGGACGGCUUCUCCAUCUAUGACGCCGAGGGAAAGUGCACACCCCACUCCCCUCCUCCUGUGCGAACCCUACGAGAGAGAGAGGAAGAUGAGAGGGAGGGAGAGAGAAUGACCGGCGUCGGCCUGCGCCGGCGAGGACGGGCGCGACCUGGAGGUUGGCCGCUGCUCGAUCUGCUCUUGGAUGGGGAACUUCAACGAAGCUGGGGUUCGGGCACGUUGCACCGGAGGCCGCACUCCACCUCUUCCUCGUGGUGCGGCGGACGGCAGCUCUUGCAGUCGUGCGGCCGACGGCGGCCUCAGCGGGUGGUCGACGACACUUGCAUCUGGUGCUCUACCCAUGGAUUCCGGCCCAGCCCGAAAUACUCAGGCCUCGGCCAAUGGUGGAGAAGACAGACUACAGGGACAAGCCGCUGGAGCACGUGUUCAUGGGAUGUUCGCGCGCAAGAUGCAGAAGUUCGCCUGAAGGAAGAAGAGUUGGCCGGCGAGGAUGAAGAGAAGGCGGGAUGCGAGGUGCUUGCACACGCAGCAGCAGGAGGCCGUCCGUAAGGUGCUCCUCUGGAUGCUCCCUUCCGGCAUUGGGCCUAGGUGUUCAACACCGCCCUCACCAUCCCCUUCUUCCAUUGGCUCAUCGGCCCAUCAGAGGCUGUCAAUGCUGAGAAGCGAACUUGGAAAUCAGCUCGCUAACAAGAGUCGGAAUUUGAAUCUGAGGCAAGUUUUACAUUCCCCAAUUUGUCUAUUGAACCCAUGGUCUCUCUUUCUUCUGCAUUAUUUCUCAUUCAUUAUCUAAGAUAUAAUUUCGACUUCACUGCAUCGUGUUGUUUGGUUUAUAAUGCCGGUUGAGCUCAUUUCUAAUUGUUCACAACUACUUAAUUUUUUGUUGUGAUUUUGCAAGAUAUUUAAAUUAUUGUAUUUAGAAAUUGUUAUACUGAUUCUCGAUGCUCUGUUCAUGGCUUUUUUCUUAUUUUAUUCUUCUUUGCUUUUUUCCUUUCCUGCAAGACGAUGUCGAGUCAUGUAAUAUGUUCAAAGAAGAGAGAAUCUGCAUUUUAUGAAUCCUUUCUUCUUUCUUCAUUGUUACUUCAAGUUAGUGAAUUCAUUUAAGUUGUAUUGAGCAGCUUCAUGUGCAUGGUUUCUUCAUCUACACAUCUUAUUCAGUCACGAGGCCAGUAAGAUCUUUUGCCUUCUAGAAAAAGGGAGAUGCAAUUUAGACCUUACUCUUCCAACUUGAUCUUUAACUUGCUACUACUGUUUCUAAGCAUUUUCCCAAGCAUUUUUUAUUUUCUUCAGAGAAUGAACUCACCUUAUUCAGUGGAUGUGCCAAGUAAAAAAAAAUAGAAACUGAACAAUUAGUUCCACUCUUAAAUUUUGUACAACGGUCCAAAUUAUCCAAUAAAUCAUUUGUUAGCAGGGUCUAAUUAUAGAAGUUGAAUCAGUUGUUCCAAAUUACAAUGUGUGACUUAUUCCAUUUGUUUAUCCUUUUGUCCUUUUAAUCAAGAACAAUGUUUAGAGCUUACAUGGUUGUCCAAAUUUAGUUCUGUAAAAGAGGAAUAUUAAUAUCAUGCAACGAUGAGUGCAGAUUAGGAUAGUUAUAGAGUUCUUCCUCAGUUUUCAUUGAGCAAAGAUUGAAUCUGUAUGGUUUUUUCUAAUACCAAGUAAAUCUUGGUCUGCAUUCUGUUAGUUUUCCUACUGAGUUUUUUUGGCUAUUUUCGUUUAAAUUGGUAGCUGAUGUGAAAAAGUGUGUGUUGACAUGCAUGCAACCAAAUCAUGUAUUAAUGUGAGGUACUACAUAUACUUGCCUAUCUCUUUCCAGAAGCACAACCCUCUUGAUCCAACUAGGAACAUCAAAACCAAAUGGGAAAUCAUUGAGUGGACUUCAGAUGGCCAUGCUUACGACAAGGAGGCGGGGUUGGGGGAGGGGGUCGGUCGUGGAGGGAGGCUCGCCUGCCGGAGCAGCAGGAACAAGGAGGCGGGGUCGGCCGUGGAAUAUUUAGCUGGAUGUGCGAUCUCUUCUGCCGCUACGUCUCCGUUCGACUCGCCAAGGUUUGUUGUUCUCCUUUUUACAUGUGUGUGUGUUUUACUUUCACUAUCUUCUAUAUCAUGCUAUCUGCCUUCAUGAUCGUUUAAGUAUUAUUAUGGUGUCUGCCAUGCUGAUCGUUUAAAUAUUUCGGAUACGGCAGGGCAUUGUGUGUUGUUCGUUCUCUUGCUACUUAUAGUUCGUGUAUGCGUGUGAGCAGGAUCUAUGCACUUGUUUCCGUUGUUAUACUUGUUUUGGAGACUAAGGUAGCUCGGUGUGCUUUGUCGUCGCUUUCGUGUCUGUGUGAGGUUGUAGACGACGGUUCUGUUCUUGCUGGUGUAGAACUCGAGCUCCCAGGGGACGGUUCUACUCCAGUGCCACAAAGAGAUGUUUUCCGAGCUUGGCUUGGUGUGGUUUUAUGAAUGGCUAUGAGCAGGAUGCUCUACAGGUCUUGCGUAUUUUGCAAGGUUUAUAUGGACUUUUCGUUCAUGACAAUAACUAUGAAUGUAUGAUGGCCUAUAGGAGAUCUUUCUGUUCAAGAACAUUGCGGUUUCUUUGAUUCCUACUAUGCUAUUUACUAAGUCUGCAGGCCAGCAUAUUAUUUAGAUUCUUUCUAACUACCUUACUUCGAAGCUCAGUACUGGUCUCCUUCAAGCUACAACCCCAAGGCGAGCUCUGGUGGUCAAGCUGAUGCUUCUUCGCCUCCUGUUGAAGAAAAGGAUGAUAAGGAUGUCCAGGCUCGAGUGACCAGGAACAAGUGGUGCUGCUUUUUAUGCUGUCCAUCUAUAUAUGCAUCCCUUCAGUUUGUACAGACAAAACAAAUAUUCAUUUCUGACUAGAACAAAACUUGCAGUUAAGAAACUCUACUGCUGGAAUGGGAGCUGGGGUACUAAACAUAAUAUAGUUUGAGCCUGCCAGUUCUUUUUAAUCCUAUGGCCUGUAUUUUUGUAGCAAUCGUCUUUUAUGUCUGGUUCCCAAAGUUAUUAGUUAGCCUGCCUAUUUCUCGCCGUUUGAUAACCUAUAUUAUAACUAUAGAGAAUAUAGUUUGAGCCUGCCAGUUCUUCUGCCUUGGAUAUGAAAUAAUGAGGCAGUUUUAAUAUUGUCGUAGAUUCACCUGAGUUUAUUUUAAACUACAGGAUGCAUCACUGAUGGAGAAAUACCUUACAGAAUGAUGCUGAGCCCCGUCUGGAAUGGAACCUUUUUGGAGCUGCUUAUGCUUGGUGCGGAGCGGGAAGCCUAUGAUAGCAACAGUAUUGUACUCCAUAGAACUGGAACUCUAUACCUUUCUUAUGCAGCUCUUCCUUUUGUUGUCUUCCCUAGAAGGGGCUGAUGUAGUUUUUCUGAAUUACAUGUCUCCGCUUUGUUCUACGGCAGAUGCUUCUACUUUGGAAUGGUAGCAACAAUACUGGACUCCACUGAGAACUGGAACUCUAUACCUUUCUUUUGUAGCUCUUGCUUUCGUAGUCAUUGCUGGAAGGUGCAGAUGUAGUUUUCCAUUUGUUCUACGACAGAUGCUUCUACACUGGAAUGGAACCUUUUUGGAGAUCAACAUGUUUCUGACUUGUUGUACAAUA